UAUCGCGAUAGGCCUGUAGCUCGAUGGGU
rnacentral:piRNA from 1 species